rnacentral:misc_RNA from 1 species
UUUCCGUAGGUGAACCUGCGGAAGGAUCAUUAUUGGAUUUUGAAACUUCAGGCUGCUGCUGGCUCUCCUCGGAGGGCAUGUGCACGCUUGUUGUCCAAUAUUUCUCCCACUGUGCACAAAUUGUAGACCUUUCAGUAGGCCUAUGUUGUUUUUCACAAUCUCUGAAUGUAAUAGAAUGGUUUUGAAUCUUGGGAAAUACAAUACAACUUUCAGCAACGGAUCUCUUGGCUCUC